CUUUUUUUUUUUUUUUUUUUUGGCUAAACUUUUUUUUCUUCCCAAAUCAAUUGGGGGACGAAAACUAAAAGCUGCAUUAUACAAAGGCAACACUCAGAAAAUUCCUUCCAUCAAACCCCAAACAACUCGAUUGAAUGAGAUCUCACACUUAACACGCCAGUAUAGAAAUGUUACAAGUCACACCUUGAUAGGGUCAUAUUUCUCACCCAUAACACCACCUUUUUGUUUCUGGAACUGAAUGUACCUAAUUGUGCUGGCAAAGAAAGCACUUGCUGCUGGAUCAGGGGUAGUAGAAUCACUUUGCAUUUCAGUAUUAAUUAAUUCUAUCAAGCUCUGGAUGGCAGAACUAGUAAUCUGUGGGUUUGCUUUUUCAAAGAAGUACAGAUACUUGUUCAAUAUUUCAACAAAGAGUAUAACUGGUCCACCGCUGCCUCUUGUAACAGUGGCCAUUUGCUGUGCGGCGUUUGCAAUCCUCAAGGCACGCUUAAGACAAAGUAGGACCCUUUCUCCAUCCUUGAUGCCAUCCAGAUCAUCAACCCAAAAUAGAUGUGAACAUGCAUAAACUGCUCUGCAUUGAUCAGGUUUCUUCAAAAGCUUUGCAGAAUAUCCAGUGGCCUUGUGUGUUAAGGUAUCCCUGUUCUCUACACCAAAUACAUUCAUCCUCUGGAGAGUACCAAUAAUUAGAUGUAUUGCAGUCACCUGGGCCUUGGAAUCUGCAAUUUCUUCUUCAUAUAGGACAAAUGCCUGAGUGAAAAAUUCAUAAGCAAUUGGCUCAAGAUCACAGUCAUUUGCAGCCUCAGCACAUUGCAAAUACAGCCUUAAUGCAAGCUCAGGUGAUGGAACAGAUGACAGAGCCUCAAUGGUCUGAUAAAACCAGAUAAUAUUAUUAGAAGCACUAGGAAGAUAAAAUCACACUGGUGUUCUAUCAAGCAAAGAAAUAUAAGCAUAAAACAAUGAAAAAUUAGAGGCAAAAUGGAAAAUAAAAAGCAAGGGUAAAAUGAGAAGAAAUCAAAGAACACUUUUGGCAAGGAAAUUUUCUAAAAGAAGAAUCCAAACUUGAUUGGUUGAAAGAAACAAUAUUUGUAGAAAACUGGAAAGAUAAAAGAAACAAAGACAGUUUACAAGCAUUCCAACUAGUCAAGAACUAUAUGUCUAAAUUGCUAGGAGGAUUUCAGUUCACGCAUAAAAUUAAACAUGUCAUAAUUAAAAAUGUGUUCUCCCGCAGGUUCCAUUAGUGCUAUGUAUAUGCAUCAAGAGACCGAUCAUGACAUGGCAACAGCAAUAAGAAAAAGCUUAAACAGAGUUACUGGAUUCAAGAGUUGAAAAAUUUUCUUAGGUGUAGCAGGCAGUUCUUCUCCUACUACAUCUCCAUCCUGACAUUGCAACUUCCUGACCAGCUGCAAGCAACAAACAGAAUUCCAAAGAAUAAUCAGCUCGGGACGUUAUUAACUGUAGCUGGUCAUUCAUUCAAGAGCCGACCUUUCAACUACUUUUGAUUUGGUCAUUCAUUCCAGAUAAAAGGAAAAUGAAGAAGCAAUGGUGAGCAAUAAUAAUAUUAAAUAAUCAAAAUUAACCAAUAUCACAGUCCAUAUUGCAAAACUAGAUAUGGAAAUUAGUUUUUCUUAGAGAACUUUCACAUUGUAUAAUUCAAUAUUGUCCAGGCCAUUGACAUGCUGAAGGAAUAAAAUGGUCAUCACAAAGGAACACAGUUUUAUUUACAAGAAGAGAGAUCAUGAUUAGAUCACAACAACUGUAUCUUCAGCCUCUCUGAAGUACAGAGACAUAAAUAACAAAUUUUCCUCCUUUAAAAAGUUGGGUUGUGGAUAGCUAUCAGCUUAUCAUGCAUCCUAUUUUAGCUAUAACAGGGUUGAUACAAAAGACAGUGCCAAGAAAUGUGUACAUAUGGAAAUGAUAUGACAAAAAGUAACAUCUUUAACAUUGUCAUGUGUUAUCUGUUAAACUAUUUGUUUCAAAAACAGCCUCAAAACUUUUCAGUAUAAAAGAAACAAGGCAUACCAUCUGGUACUUUGAUAGAAAGCCAUACAUAUAACCUUAAACCAAUGCUAUCUGCUAACAGGAACACAGUGAGAAUUGAAGAGAAAAGUCCACCAACAUUUGUGAAAGUAAGAAACAUACCCUAAGUGCAGAAAAUAUGAGAGGAGGAACUGUAAAAGGUAAGCGUUUUGGUCCUCCAGUCAUUAUAUGCUUCUUCACAGUACAGAAAAUCUUCAACAUUUCCUCUGGCUCACCAUUAUAAAGCAUGUGUAUAAGGCGAGCAACAGAAUUUUGUUCUUCCUUGAAAUCCUCCUCAUCAAGCUCCUCUGCAGUAGUUCCAUCCAAAUCCUUAAUGAGGCCUUUUAUCAAUUCAAACAACACCUCAACCUUAUCAGCACUAGAAAUGCAAGUAUAAUUUUUCAUAAUGCUUUGGAUAAUAACCAUGGCCAUAACUUUGUUAGUCUCAUUAUCAAGACGGUCCAUAACACGAGGAUAAUUUGAAAGUGUCAAGGCAGUGACGACAUCAUUGUAUUUCUCUAAUGGAGCACUCAGAAGUGCAACAAUUUGUUUUGUUGCUCUACUGUCUUCAAGCUUUGGCUUUCCAGAAAGCUUCUUCACACAUGCCCCCAGCACUUGAUCCACAUAAUCCAACCGAUCAGGAUGUACACGGAGUGUAAAUGUAAGGAGGGAUAAAUACAAAGUAAUGGCUCCAACAAUUGGCAUGUCAACAUGUGCUUCUGUCACCUACCAUUGAAUUAAGGCUAUCAAAAUAAUAGAAAAUAGUUCCAAUAUCUUAAUUAGGCAUAUCAACAGAAAACAAUCAUCAAAGUCACUCCCUUGUGUUACUUAAGUAUUUCCGUAGUGCUUAGAUUUGAUUUACUGUAAACCUUUGCAACAUCAACUAACUGAGAAGCCAACUUGCAUUAGCAGCAGGCUU
rnacentral:misc_RNA from 1 species